AGAGUUUGAUCMUGGCUCAGAACGAACGUUGGCGGCGUGGAUUAGGCAUGCAAGUCGUGCGAGAAAGGGGCUUCGGCCCUGAGUAAAGCGGCGAACGGGUGAGUAUCGCGUGGGAAACCUGCCUUCAAGUGGGGGAUAACACUCCUAACGGGGUGCUAAUACCGCAUGACACCCUUGGGUCGCAUGGCCCGAGUGUCAAAGGUGGCCUCUACUUGUAAGCUACCGCUUGAAGAUGGUCCCGCGUCCGAUUAGCUAGUUGGCGGGGUAACGGCCCACCAAGGCGACGAUCGGUAGCUGGUCUGAGAGGAUGRUCAGCCACACUGGGACUGAGAYACGGCCCAGACUCCUACGGGAGGCAGCAGUGGGGAAUAUUGGACAAUGGGCGMAAGCCUGAUCCAGCAAUGCCGCGUGUGUGAAGAAGGCCUUCGGGUUGUAAAGCACUUUUAUCAGGARCGAAAUCKGCADGSUUAAUAACSUGUGCMGUCUGACGGUACCUGAGGAAUAAGCACCGGCUAACUUCGUGCCAGCAGCCGCGGUAAUA
rnacentral:rRNA from 1 species